rnacentral:rRNA from 1 species
UACGUAGGGACCAAGCGUUGUUCGGAUUUACUGGGCGUAAAGGGCGCGUAGGCGGCAAUUCAAGUCAGUUGUGAAAUCUCCGAGCUUAACUCGGAACGGUCAACUGAUACUGUUUUGCUAGAGUACAGAAGGGGCAAUCGGAAUUCUUGGUGUAGCGGUGAAAUGCGUAGAUAUCAGGAGGAACACCAAUGGCGAAGGCAGCUCGCUGGGACGGUACUGACGCUGAGACGCGAAAGCGUGGGGAGCAAACAGG